GCAAUAUUUUUCCCAUAGAUUGUUUUAAAAUUGUUUGUAGAAAUAGUAUGUUAUUCAAAGUCGAAUUUUUACGUUGUGGAUUAUUUCGUACUGUUUGUUUUCUCAUUGAUCGCACUGGCUAUCUUUCCAUCUGAACUUCAGAAUUUGUUUAAAAUGCUCCUGAUGAAUUUAAAAUGAAGACCAAGUAUUAAACUUCUCAUCAAAAUCCUCAUGGUGAUAAGAAACUCGGGAAAUCGAAGGGGAGAAAAGUAAUUAUAGACAUCAUAUCUACUACAAAAGGCCCUACCAGAUGAUGUUUGUUCAAAUUUAUCCAAAGGCAAAUCCGGCCUGUGUUCGAAUAACGGUUGAGAAUACAACCCUAAAAGUGACGACCGGGAAAUUCCAGAUUGUCUUUUCCCAACAGUGGAACGCUAUAUUUCAACGGUAACCAAAGCAGUUCCAAUCAUCGAAUUUGAAUGGAUUCAAGAUGCGGUGGUGCAAUGAUUUCUGUUCAGAUGCAUAUUUUGAAUUCUUCGGCCUCUUGAAACGGAUCUGAAGUAGCUGGAGGAACAGAGAACUGCAAGUAAACUAUGUAUACCACAAUGUCUUGAAUAUUUAGUGACUUGUAACAGACAAUUAACUCCAGUUCAUUUCACCGAGCUUUUAAUGUUAAGAGACUGAUUAGUAGGACAAUAGUUGAAUGCAUUGAAUUGAGUCUUGAAUUAAAAUGAUAGGUUUAUAUGUAGGGAACUUCAUUGAAUUAAUCAUUAAUUAUAUAAAUAUUAGUUUUGUUAACAUUAUGAUUUAAUAAACGCCUAAACUCAAUUUUCAGAAUCUCUUCAAAUGAAACGGACAAAGCUACUCUUAACGAUAUCUUCUAUAUAUUUUGAGAUUAAUGUUAAUAUACGCCCAAGCUCUAUGUUUGAUUCACAAUAGAUUCCUCAAAAGUUAAGAAUUGUGGUUACCAGUCUCAAAUCUAAAUCGGUAUAUUAACAUUGAUGCUAAUCCAUUCUGGAAUUCUCGCGAUGUAUUACAGAAUACAUUUUUACUAAGCUUGGAAGCUGUGCCAAAAAGCAUUAGGUUAUAACGAUCGUGCAUGCUAGUUGGAACUGGCUGCAAUCGUGCAAAACAGUAUAUCAGAAUUUUGAUUAGUUCCUAGUCAUUACAGUUAAAAAAAAAUUCCUGAAACGAUCGCAUUAUAACGUAUUCAAUGUCCUUACAAAAUGCGGAAUUACAUACAGAUUAGCCUCUCGAAAUUGAUUAGGAACUGCAAUUCAUCUUAAUCUCGCAGUUGCCAACUGAUUCGUGACUUGAGGAUUUGAACCGACAAGAGCUUUUGAAAUUCUUAAUUGUGAUGUCUAGAUUUUCUAACUUGCGGUGUACGCGAAGUGCGGAAAUUACAACGGGGCCUUAAAAUCCGUAUUCUAUGAUUAGUGUCAAUCUUUACCAACUCUCGAUAGUUGCAAAUGCCAAUGUUCGAAGUGGAAAUUAUGCUUAAUCAAUUGGUUAGGAUUAACUGCAAGGGUCAAACAAGGAUUCGGGGAUGGUUAGACCAGAAUUAUGGUUAACUCGUCAAUAUGCGGAUCCCUGUAGACUUUUCAUUCAGGCUGUUUGGGAUCGGCAGUCUAAAUGGAAAGUCUCGGUCCCCAGGGAUCCGGUAUUGAACGUGUUAACGGGAAAUAGCAAUGGGGUAAGAUCAUUCCUAAUAUACCGAGUCAAGAGGGAUUUUAGCUGUCGUGAAAGAUCACUGGUGUUUCUAUUGAUAGCAAUGGGGUCAUAAGGUUUGGAUUAAAUGUAAUUUGUGCUUUAAACAUUGGCAGCGACUAUUGGGAAAAAUUUAAAUGAUAGGAUAACCUGUAAUUCCAUUUGUCAAACUUCGGAAAUGUUUUAACUUUAACUCUCCCAACUGAUAGCACAUUUAAUGGUUGAUAGUUGCUAAAUAGUGAAGUUUUGUAUAACUUUAAUUUUUUACCUAGGUAACGAUAUGAACUUGAAAGCUCUUUACAUGAUCCUUAAAAAAAAUCUAGGGUGUAUUAAUUUUCAACGGAACUAGAAAUAAAUCGUUGCAGUCGAUAGUUUUUGACAAAGCUAAGGUUUGAGCAUUUAAAUAACAUAAUUUUAAGUAAACUUCCACUCUUAUAAUUUCGCCGAAUUUAGCAGUUUUCUGGCAAUACCUUGAGAAACGUGGGAAAUAAGUCCACCCUGGAGGCCAAUACAGGUUAAGCUUUUCUUUACAAUAGAUUCUUGAUCUAGGUUGAACGGUAAAUUUUGUAAUGAUCAAUUAUAAAAUUCGGCAUCUAAACUGGAAAAGUGUAACUAUAAAUCGCUAUGCAAGAAAGGAUGCAUCAAUUCUUUACUUACAUCCCUUAAUCCAUGUCGACAUUGCAUUUCAUUAUUUCCAGAAUGUAUUAAAUUGUGUUCAUUCGAAUAUGACUAGUUUUCAUCAGAAUUGUCCAUACACAUGACCCAUCUUAACGCUUGCUUCAUAUUCUAAUUUUUAAACUCUGCACUAAUUCAGGUGAUCUAAAGAAUUAUCAAGCAACUUAUAAUCUAAUGUUUGUAGUGAAAUUGGCUAAAGAAAGAAGAAAGACAUGAAAUCACUAUUUUAUCAGAGACAUGAAACACAGAUGAAAUCACAGACAUGAAAACAAUUUUAUCCAGAGUUUAAAAACUAAUUUUCUGUAGUAUUCAACAUUCCUAUCAAUACGCAAUUGACUUUUCAAACUUUGAGAAUUGUAAUAAGAAUUUUCAUAGUCCGUUUCAUUUGAAUUAAAUACACUGGUAAUCCCUUAGAUUUUCCGACUAAAUUUUUAACUUUACAUUCAUCUAAGCUAUAUAUUGUCAUAUCGUUCCUUUAAUUCAAUGAGUAAUUUUAAUCCAUAAAAUUACUUUGCUAGACGAGAAAAAUUUGUCGCUGAAUUUGUAUAAUACUCGAGUAUCUACAUGUAGUUUGCAAAGAUUAAACCUUUUUUAAACGAAGUAUUUACCAAUAUCUCUAGCAAUAAAAUUCGCAACGAGUUUGAAGUUCCCUUACAUUUUUAAUUGAAUAAUUUUUACUUUAAUGUUGUAGAUUAAUAUUCUUGUAUAGUAUUUUGAAUCACGAGCAUGUAUAUUUUUUAAAUGCUAAUUAUGUCAAUUGGAUUGUUCUUGGUGUUAAUGAAGGCUUCAGAUUUGUAAACACAGCUGCUCAUUCGUACAAAAUGCAACUUUCUUAAUUGUAAUACUUUCUUUAUAAAUGCAUAUUAAAGGUAGUGUAAAAAAAAAUGCUAAAGGUUGGACGGUGUAUAUUUUCAUAGGAAUAGUUUAAGCUGUAUUAGAACUGAGCUCUAACUAUUUAUAUAAAACUACCUUUUGUUAGCAUAAUCUUCAAGAACUCGCUAUAUCUGAUUCUAAUCUCGGAUAUAGGGGAAAAUUUUAAAUAUUGAACGAAUAGAUUUUUCUGAAACCUUGAGGUUUAAAGCUUAUUGCCAGUCAAUGCAAAAGAAUUGUAAACUAAAGUGUGGUUUCACUAGUUUUGAAGUUUGUACGCUGAAGCGCUAAAAUUCCGAAAAUGCUUGUAACUAGGUUUUGCCGAAUAACUUAGUAACUUAACGAUUAAUUUUAAAUCAAUUUGAAAAUUGAGACAAGUGUUGGUAUUUAAAGAAUUUUGAGAUUCUAAUCUUAGUAAUUGCUAAAUUAGGGUUGAGGUAUGUAAAAAUCUAGCCGACGUUCCGCCUCUUAUUGCAAGAUCGUUUACUUCAGUUUUGAUAAAUUGCUAGAUCAGCUUCCAUUAAUAAUCCAUAGACUAUACAAGUUAUUGCUUCUCACCAACGGAAAAACCUCUUGCAUGGUAUCUGUAAUAGUAUUAACUCGGACUAUAUACUGAAAUUAUUCUGAAUAUCGUAAACUUUGAGGACGGGCUUUUAACUCUAUUUUAACCCUAUAGAUAUAUUUCAAUGUCGUAUUUUAAUAUUUAAAUAUCCUAGCUAUUGAGUACAGGUCUGAAACGUACUCAACAGAUAUAUAAAUCGUGCCAAAAUUCUUUCGAAACUAAACGGAUAUUGCAUAAUUUUUCUUGGAAAACCAAUUUAAAAGCCGAUCUCCUAAAAUGCGAACCAGAUAUGCCUUUAAUCUUAAUCGGAAAUCAAAAUUUUAAUUCGAGCAACUUUUCUCGGUGUGAAAUCUUGGAUUUUAAUGCUGGUUAAAUCCAAUUCUUUUGUCUAAAGUGGUGUAACGCUUAGCAUCAUUAACCGAAGGUGGUCGUUUGCUUUGCCGGCAAGCAAAUGAACAUCUUUUGCUUCUAUUUUGAUCGUGGUGUCUGGCCAACAACACAAUCAAAAUAUUUCAAUUGGAUAUGUAGGUUAAACUUUCAAACCGUUCUCGAUUUUUUUUAGACCACUGUUAUGCAAGACCACUGUUAAGUCAAUUUUUUUGAAGGCAAAAUUGGUAAACAUAUAACGGAUGAAUAUCUAAAUUAAUUGGGACUUAUUGGUCUGCUUUCCCAAAUAAACUUAACUGAUUUUAUUUCUGUAGGUUAUUAAAUGCCAAUAUCCCAAUGUUUCCUAAGUACUCUCCUAGACGUGCGCGACUAUCGACAUCAGAAUCUGGUUCUCAUUUACGAGAUGACAAAUUUAAACAUUUUAAAUUCUCAGCAUUUUGUCAUCGCAUCGCAUAGCAGAAUUGGAAAUGAUAAUGCAAUUACUUUAGCAUUUAGAGUAAAAUGGCAACAAUAGGAGCCAUCAUAAUUUAUAAUUCAAUCGUUUGAUGUAGUAUGUCGCAAUUGUCAUCCAUAUUAAACAUUAGUCCUAGUAGGAUUUUGAUAAUAGCGAAAUUCUUAUUUUCACAAUUCAAAGAAUAUCAAUUCAUAGGUAUCUUGAUUUCUAAAUUUGUAAUAUCAAAAAAUAAUGAAUGUAAGCUAAAAGACCUAGUGCACAAAGCAAAGCUGAUGGAAUUGCAAUUCAGGUUAGGCCUUUUAUUUUGGUGUAAGAAAUCAGAUUGGUAAUCGUGUAUGUAAUAAAAUGGUUCUUUUGAGUGGAAUUGGCUUUUACCAACUUAAUCAAAUGCCUAGGAUUUUUAAAUUUUCUCAUGACUAAUAUGGGAUGUUAAACGGAAACAUUUCUCGGCGGUUGCAAAAUUUAAAGGAUUCUUUUGGAAUUUAGUUAGUUCAGAAGUUAGACAUGUGAAUAAAGAUUGUCAGUGACUGUGCUAGCCAGUUAACUGACAGUCUUAAUUCCUAAAGGCAUUCUUGAAUUUGAUGCCUGAUCAACAUCGAAUUCGAAGAUGUCUUGAUUUGAAACUUCACUGUAAAUAGAGCUCGUAUUUUUUAAAUGCAAUGUGUAAUUAUAUUUGGAAUUCGGCCCACUCAAAUUUCAAUAUUUCAAUGAAAGCAUCUAAUUACAGUACCAGUUCUUAACGAAAUACUUGAGAAUUUCCAUUGGCUUUGCUGGUGUCCUACAGAACUCGGGAAAUAAAGUUACAAAACAAAAACAAAUUCUAAAUCGUUUGAUAAACAAAUAUAAAUCGCGUUCUUAACUAAUCCAGUAUCCCUUUUUUAAAUCGAAUUUAUGAAACUCAAUUUUUCGUUUUUUAAACGUUAUAAUAUUGAAUUUUUAUAGAACGACACCAAAACGAAGUUGUAUAGAGCAAAUUAAAGAUUUUAUCGUAAUUUUUAAGUGUCAGAGUAUUCAUCCGUAACUGCAACUUCACUUAUAAGCAAUAAUCCCGUAUUAAUGGCACUUAAAUUUGCACUGAAUAAAUUACAAAAUCGUGUCGAGUCCGAAUUUUGCAAUUUUCUGUAUUUGGCACGUUUCCUGUUCUUACGCCGAUUCGCCUAGUGUCUUUAUUUUUUAUCUUCAAUUGUUGAGAUUGAACUCGAUUACUUUCAUUAAAGAUUAGCUUUAUUCCAAUAUGAAGAUUGAAGUUUCCUGAAAUUCGUAUCGAACCAGAGAAGUUUAGCCUAAAAUAGCGCAGUUUGUCGUUACACGAAAUUGUUUUCAUUUCGAUUGACUCUUCCCGGUUUUAUGUUAGCUUUGAACAGACAAAUUCUAGUGAAAGUUGCAUCCGAUUAACCAAUAGUAUGAAUCUUUGCUUUAAACCCGAUCUGAAAUUUUUAGUCAUCGUUUCAAUGUCAAGGUUAACUGCUAGCAUUCUAAUUAUGGUCGACUCAGUAUCUCGUAUUUCCUCCUCCACGAUAGACUAUUUCUGCAUUGUUAAUAAAAAAUGGAGAAUUAAAUCUUAAUAGCAACAUCGUCCAACCUCCGUUAAUAUUACAGCAAUACAAAAUGGUUUCGUAAAGCUUUUUCAGUAAAUUCGAAUUUUUUUAAACUUAUCUUUCAAAUUAUUUGCCGUAAAUCUGUUAAACAAUUUUUGUUGACCUAACUUAACACUACUACUCGAACGAAAACUAAGUAUUUAAUG